rnacentral:piRNA from 1 species
CGGAGAAUCACUGAGAGCUGCUA